rfam:Ictidomys tridecemlineatus contig029024, whole genome shotgun sequence.
UGGAUUGUAGCUCAGUGGUAGAGCACUUGCCUCUCACAUAUGAGGCACUGGGUUCAAUCCUCAGCACCACAU